rnacentral:rRNA from 1 species
GUCCCCGCACAAGCAGCGGAGCGUGUGGUUUAAUUCGAUGCUCCGCGAAGAACCUUACCUGGGUUUGACAUAACAGUGGUAGAGAAACGAAAGUGGACCGACCCUUCGGGGAGCUGUUACAGGUGUUGCAUGGCUGUCGUCAGCUCGUGUCGUGAGAUGUUCGGUUAAGUCCGCUAACGAGCGCAACCCGCGCUGUGUGUUACAAGUGUCACACAGUACCGCCGGUAUUAAGUCGGAGGAAGGUGCGGAUGACGUCAAGUCAGCAUGACCUUUAUAUCCAGGGCUACACACACGCUACAAUGGUCAGCACAAUAGGUUGCCAAGCCGCAAGGCGGAGCCAAUCCUCCAAAGCUGGCCUCAGUUCAGAUUGCAGGCUGCAACUCGCCUGCAUGAAGUCGGAGUUGCUAGUAACCGCAGGUCAGCAUACUGCGGUGAAUACGUUCCCGGGGAUU